ensembl:snoRNA
AUCCUACUGUAGCUCAUGAGCAUGAUGCCUGGGUGUUCACACGCAUCUGUGAGAUGUGGCACCUUGAACCUUGUUACCAUGUCAGCACAUCACCCAUCUGACA